CUAAAAUGAAGUCAAGUGUUUUAAUUCUACUUUUGCUAAUAUAUACAUCACAGAAAAACAUGACACAUGGAAAAAAGGAUCCAAAAAAACCUGGGCUGGAGUUUGUCUUCUUCACAUCAUCUAACAAGAUUUACAAAGGGAGUAUCUCUGCAGUUGAUAAUGAGUACACCUCAUCUGUGUCCUACAGUGUUGCAGAAUUUAACUCUGUGGCCAAUGAAAUGGCAUGGUUUAAGGCUCAGAACUACUGCAGGAAUAUAAACUCAGAACUGGUAACUGUGGAUAAUGAAGAAGAAAAUCAAUUACUCAUAAAAAUAUCAGAAAAGCCAAAAUUUUGGAUUGGGAUGCAUCGCAAUGGUGACCAGUGGCAAUGGUCGAAUCAGGAUAAAGUUACAUAUUCAAAAUGGAAAAGAGAUUUCUUCUGUGCUUUUGUCCAUUCUGAUGGCUCGUGGGAUGAUUCAGUCUGUCAUGACAGUAAAAAAUUCAUGUGCUACAGCCAAACAAGUAACAUUAGAGAGAGAUUUGUCCUGAUAAAUGAGAAGAAGAAUUGGAGCGCAGCUCAGAACUUCUGUCAAGUACACUACAAAGACCUGGUCAGCAUAAGAAAUAAGAAUGAAAAUGAGGAGAUACUAAGGAAUGCGAAUGGCAAUUCAUUCUGGAUUGGACUGUUCAACAACCCCUGGAAGUGGUCUGAUGGAGGGAAUUUAACAUUUCAAAACUGGGACACCAACCAACCAGACAAUUUUGAUCGUAAUGAAGCAUGUGUGGAGAUUCUUAAAAAUGGAAGAUGGAAUGAUAAUAACUGUAAGAAACACAUGAAUUUCUCCUGCUUUAACAGGUCUAGUGUAUCCACAUCAUACUACUUUGUGCCUAAUUCAUUAUCCUGGCAAGAUUCUCAGAAAUACUGCAGUAAGAAUUAUACAGACCUGGUGACUAUUGAGAAUGAAACAGUAAAUCAGCAGGUAUUAGUACUGCCAGGACAAAGUUGUGGUUGGAUUGGUCUCCACCGUGAAAAUGACAAAUGGCUUUGGUCCAAUGGUGACCCUCUCACCUUCACAAACUGGAAGCGAGAGUUUUUCUGUGCUGUGCUCCAGUCAGAUGGCUAUUGGAAUGAUUCAGACUGCAGUCAAAAAAAACCUUUCAUGUGCUACAAUGAAACUAAUUAUUUUAAUCGUACAUAUGUUUGGAUAAAAGAGAGUAUGAACUGGAGCAAAGCUCAGAACUACUGUCAAGUGAACUACAGAGACCUGGUCAGUAUAAGAAAUGAGACUGAAAAUAUGGAGAUAAUAAAGAAAGCACAAAGCACUCCUUUUUGGAUUGGUCUGUUCAACAAUCCCUGGAAGUGGUCUGAUGGUGGGAAAUCAACAUAUCAAAACUGGGAAAAUUCACAACCAAACAAUUUUGAACUUCAUAAAAAGUGUGUGGAGGUGAAAGAUAAUGGAAAGUGGAGUGUUGAUGAUUGCAAUUCAACAAAGCCUUUCAUUUGCUCCAAGAUUAUCAUGAAUGUAACCUUUAUAAAUACAAGUUCAACUUGGGAAGAUGCUGUGGAUUACUGCAGAGCAAGGAAUUCUGAUCUCAUCAGCAUCUCAUCACAGCUGGAGCAGGAUGCAAUAGCUGCAUUGCUGAACAACACCAGUUCAUCUAGCGUGUGGCUGGGGCUAAGGCAGAGCCGUCUCUUUGGAUUCUGGUUGUGGAUUGAUGAAAAACCUUUGAGUUAUGAGAAGUGGGUCCAUAGACCUCCUUCACAGCUCCCUGCCUCCAGCCCUUGUGCUGUUAUGUCUCAAGAGAAGAAUUUCAGUUGGACUAAUGUUUCUUGUUCCGAAAAAUACAGAUUCAUCUGUAGGUAUCAAUAAAAUUAACCCUAACCCUAAUUUUAGUGUUUAUAAUUAUCUUCUUAUAUACUUCUAUAUACAGUGUUUGAAGUGAGACAGCACCUCUUCCUAUUUCAACAUAGCAUGACAGCACUAUUUCAUAGCAUACCAAUGAGUACUGGAAGCUCUUUGUAAAUUUUCAACGAACCGUUCUUCAAUCGAAUGUUGAUAUAUCCAUGUGUUUAGAGCUUACCUAGGGCACACAUCCCCAACCUGGCCACUUUGAUUGACUGUCAUUGUAUCAUGACAAUCUAAGUUUUCACCAUACCUACGCCUUUUCCACCCCCACCCAAAUCUUUGAUCGAAUCUUGGUAAAUUACCCUGAAAAGAGUACCACCACUUCAAGUACUGUUCAUAUCAAUGUUUUACUCUUUGCAGUGUUAUCAUACUUUACUUCUAUCAUUGCUGAACCCGGUUUCAGGCUGUUAUCUCUGGAACAGGUACAUUAGUGAGUGUGACUGAAAAUGUGGCCUGCAUUAGACUGGCAUUCAAAACAGUGAUGGCAUCCGUUUCCUACAUUUCUCUUGAGUUUGGCACUGGCUGAAAGAUGCUUGCUUCAGGUAAUGAAUAAUUGUAUAUUAUAGUUUACAAAGGACAUAUAAGUGAUAGAGAAAAAUGAGGCAAAAUAUUAUAUUCAAUGAAUGCAUUCUAAUGUAUAAUUUAUAUAUUCUUUUUCUAAAUGUAACUGAUUAUCUUUAAUAAACUGUUCCUU